UACGUAGGGGGCAAGCGUUAUCCGGAUUUACUGGGUUUAAAGGGUGCGCAGGCGGCGCGUUAAGUCAGCGGUGAAAUCUCAUGGCUCAACCACGGAACUGCCGUUGAUACUGGCGUGCUAGAGUACAGACGGCGCCGGCGGAAUGUGUCAUGUAGCGGUGAAAUGCUUAGAUAUGCCACAGAACACCGAUCGCGAAGGCAGCUGGCGAGGCUGGAACUGACGCUCAGGCACGAAAGCGUGGGGAUCAAAC
rnacentral:rRNA from 1 species